rnacentral:rRNA from 1 species
AUAAUGGGUCAGCGACUUAUAUUCUGUAGCAAGGUUAACCGAAUAGGGGAGCCGAAGGGAAACCGAGUCUUAACUGGGCGUUAAGUUGCAGGGUAUAGACCCGAAACCCGGUGAUCUAGCCAUGGGCAGGUUGAAGGUUGGGUAACACUAACUGGAGGACCGAACCGACUAAUGUUGAAAAAUUAGCGGAUGACUUGUGGCUGGGGGUGAAAGGCCAAUCAAACCGGGAGAUAGCUGGUUCUCCCCGAAAGCUAUUUAGGUAGCGCCUCGUGAAUUCAUCUCCGGGGGUAGAGCACUGUUUCGGCAAGGGGGUCAUCCCGACUUACCAACCCGAUGCAAACUGCGAAUACCGGAGAAUGUUAUCACGGGAGACACACGGCGGGUGCUAACGUCCGUCGUGAAGAGGGAAACAACCCAGACCGCCAGCUAAGGUCCCAAAGUCAUGGUUAAGUGGGAAACGAUGUGGGAAGGCCCAGACAGCCAGGAUGUUGGCUUAGAAGCAGCCAUCAUUUAAAGAAAGCGUAAUAGCUCACUGGUCGAGUCGGCCUGCGCGGAAGAUGUAACGGGGCUAAACCAUGCACCGAAGCUGCGGCAGCGACGCUUAUGCGUUGUUGGGUAGGGGAGCGUUCUGUAAGCCUGCGAAGGUGUGCUGUGAGGCAUGCUGGAGGUAUCAGAAGUGCGAAUGCUGACAUAAGUAACGAUAAAGCGGGUGAAAAGCCCGCUCGCCGGAAGACCAAGGGUUCCUGUCCAACGUUAAUCG